rnacentral:rRNA from 1 species
GUACUGUGCGAACGUUAUUCGGAAUCACUGGGCUUAAAGGGUGCGUAGGCGGCUGACUAAGUAGGGUGUGAAAUACUCCGGCUCAACCGGAGAAUUGCGCUCUAAACUGGUCGGCUUGAGUGAGAUAGGGGUGUGCGGAACUUCCAGUGGAGCGGUGAAAUGUGUUGAUAUUGGAAGGAACGCCGGUGGCGAAAGCGGCACACUGGGUCUUAACUGACGCUGAGGCACGAAAGCCAGGGUAGCGAACGGGGGAUUAGAUACCCCGGUAGUCCUGGCCGUAAACGAUGAGCACUAGCUGGGAGGGGCUUCGGCCUUUUCGAACGCAGCGAAAGCAUUAAGUGCUCCGCCUGGGGAGUAUGGUCGCAAGGCUG